CUGACCAACAAAAGAACUCUGAAGGAUGUUUCCAAACUGAGCCCUCACCACCAGACAUCAUCAUUGGAGGCUUUCCACAGCGUCAUUCUUCGCUUUGCCCCAAAGAAUGUUGUUUUUCCAUUUAUUGGAAUGCUUUGCAGACUCUACCUGGCUGCGAUGUACUACAAUGAAAACGCAGACCGACCACAGGCCACAACCAAGGAAGGCGAUCCUCUCUUCAAGGUUCACUUUCCAAAGGCUUUGAAAGGAGAAUGCAGAGUAAAACCACAUAAGACAGAGCCAACAUUCAGGUAUGUUGCUGACAUGAUGGACCUCAUAUUUGAAAAAGUCCUUGUG